AUUGAACGCUGGCGGCAUGCUUUACACAUGCAAGUCGAACGGUAACAGGCCUUCGGGUGCUGACGAGUGGCGAACGGGUGAGUAAUGCAUCGGAACGUACCCAGAGGUGGGGGAUAACGCAGCGAAAGCUGUGCUAAUACCGCAUGUGAUCUGAGGAUGAAAGCGGGGGACCGAGCAGCAAUGUUUGGCCUCGCGCCUUUGGAGCGGCCGAUGUCGGAUUAGCUAGUUGGGGGGGUAAAGGCCUACCAAGGCGACGAUCCGUAGCUGGUCUGAGAGGACGGCCACCCACACUGGGACUUGGACACGGCCCAGACUCCUACGGGAGGCAGCAGUGGGGAAUUUUGGACAAUGGGCGCAAGCCUGAUCCAGCAAUGCCGCGUGCGGGAAGAAGGCCUUCGGGUUGUAAACCGCUUUUGGCAGGAACGAAACGGUGUCCGCUAAUACCGGGCGCUAAUGACGGUACCUGCAGAAUAAGCACCGGCUAACUACGUG
rnacentral:rRNA from 1 species